rnacentral:rRNA from 1 species
UACGUAGGGUGCAAGCGUUAAUCGGAAUUACUGGGCGUAAAGCGUGCGCAGGCGGUUAUGUAAGACAGAUGUGAAAGCCCCGGGCUCAACCUGGGAACUGCAGUCGAAACUGCAAAGCUUGAAUGUUGGAGAGGUUGGGGGAAUACCUAGUGGAGAAGUGAAAUUCGUAGAGAUUAGGUGGAACACCAGAGGCGAAGGCGCCUGACUGGCCAAACAUUGACGCUAAGGCGCGAAAGCGUGGGUAGCAAACAGG